ACGCAUGAUAGAGGCGCGGCUGAUAAGAGUAACCAUCCGGCAGACAGGCAUAGAGGAUGGGGAAAGGGUUAGCCGCCGAAGGGCCGUACCGCUGCCUGGCGGGUCGGUGCCUGGGCCGUCGGAAAACAUCCGCCGGACUGUCGCCCGGAAACGGGCGGGGCGCUGUCAUGGAU
rfam:Oscillibacter sp. 57_20 Ley3_66761_scaffold_1213, whole genome shotgun sequence.